GCGAAGACCUUACCAAGGCUUGACAUAUAGGGAAAAGCAGCAGAGAUGUUGUGUCCGCAAGGGCUCUAUACAGGUGGUGCAUGGUUGUCGUCAGCUCGUGUCGUGAGAUGUUGGGUUAAGUCCCGCAACGAGCGCAACCCUCGUUCUGUGUUGCCAGCAUUUAGUUGGGGACUCACAGGAGACUGCCGGGGUCAACUCGGAGGAAGGUGGGGAUGACGUCAAAUCAUCAUGCCCCUUAUGUCUUGGGCUGCACGCAUGCUACAAUGGCCGAUACAAAGGGCUGCAAUACCGCAAGGUGGAGCGAAUCCCAAAAAGUCGGUCUCAGUUCGGAUUGGGGUCUGCAACUCGACCCCAUGAAGUCGGAGUUGCUAGUAAUCGUAGAUCAGCAACGCUACGGUGAAUACGUUCCCGGGGCUUGUACACACCGCCCGUCACGUCACGAAAGUCGGUAACACCCAAAGUCAGUGGCCCAAC
rnacentral:rRNA from 1 species